rnacentral:tRNA from 1 species
CCUGGUGGCUCAGAGGUUAAAGCGUCUGCCUGCAAUGCGGGAGACCCGGGUUCGACCCCUGGGUCAGGA